rnacentral:lncRNA from 1 species
CAUCCUCAUGGAUCCUAGUCAGGUUCAUUAACUGCUGAGCCUUGAAGGAACUCCAUCUGGGGCUUUUUCUUUUUCCCUUAUCUGAGUCAUAAUUCUCUGCCUUUUCAUCUUGUAUAGAUUUUCAGCAUACCUCCUUUUUGCAAACAAUAGGGUUGUAGUCUCUCUUGCUUCUGAUGUGGCUCUCUUGCUACCUCCUUUGUGGCUGAAUUUGGCAUGGGAGCUUGGUACAGGUACAGGCUUCCUGAUGGGAGAGAUUGGUGUCUGCCCACUAGUAGGUGGAGCUGAUUCUUAUCCCUCUGAUGGGUGGGGCUUUGUCUCUGGGUAUGAUUAGAGGCAGCUGUGCCUGGGGUAGUCUUUAGGCAGCCUUUUGCUGAUGAGUAAGGCUAUGUUCCCCUCCCCCCCCAAAAAAAAUGGUUGUUUGGCCUGAGGUUUCUCAGUCCUGAUGGGUGGGGCCAGAUUUUUCCAAAAUGGCCACCUCUAGAGGAUUCAUGCUGAUGCUUAUUCCCAAGAACUUUGCCUCCAAUAUCCUUCCCCCACAAGAAGCCAUAGUCACCCCUGUUUUCCCAGGAGAUCCUCCAAAAACAGUAGGCAAGUCUGACCCAGAUUCCUGUGGAGUCUCUGCUCUGCCUUGGGACCUAGAGCACAUGAAAGCCUGUGUGUGCCUUUCAAGCGUGGAGUCUCUGUUUUCCCCAGUCCAAUUGAGUUCCUGUACACAAGCUCCACUGGCCCUCAACACCCAGUGCUCCAGGGGCUCCUCCUCCCAAUGCCAGAUCCCCAGGUUUGGGAACAUGAUGUGGGGCUCAGAACUCUUACUACCAUGGGUAAGCCUCUGUGAUAUAGUUACUUUCCAGUCUGUGGGCCACCCACCUGGCAGGAUGGGGUUGCUCAUAUCAUGUAAUCGCCCCCAUGACCAUCUCCAUGUGUCCUCUUCUUUGUCUUUUGGAGUAGGAUAUCUUUUUUGAUAGUUUCUAUUUUGUUAAAGGUUGUUCAGCAGUUGGUUGUAAUUUUGUUGUUUUCACGAGAGAAGGUGAGCUCCAGUCCUUUUAUUCCACCAUCUUAAUUCAGUCUGAUGUUUCACUUUAAAGAACUAGAUUCUAGUAAAUACAUGUCAUUUCUCUAAAUUUGAUACUGAAAUCUAUUUCUAAUAAAAUAAUAAUAAUAGUGAGAGAUUGUUUCCCUUCAGGGAAACUUUUUAAAAGGCAUAGCAAAGCUCUUGUCACUAUAGGACAGGUUUAAAGUUCUACCAGGGGUUGGGCUUAUUAGAUGUUGAUGAUGUUGAUGGGUUGCUGGAUGUUAUAUUAAGUCUCAUGCUAGGUGAUUAAAGACAGCAUAGCACAGUGGUUAAGAGCAUGAUGCUAGAGUUCAGAUCCCAGUGUUGCCUUUUUACUACCUCUAUGACCUUGGGAAAAUUACUCAACCUGUCUGGACCUUAGUUUCAUAAUCUGAAAAAUGAGGAGAACACUAUUUAGUAUUGUGGACUGAAUGUUUGUGUUCUCCCUAAAUUCAUAUGUUGAAGUCCUACCCCAGUGUGGUUAUACUUAGACGUGGGCUUCAAAGGGAUUAAUUAGGUUAAACAAAGUCCUACGGAUGAAGCCCUGAUUGAAUAGGAUUCGUGUCUUUUAAGAAGAGAUACCAGAGAAGUUUCCAUUGUAGCUCAGUGGAAAUGAAUCCAACUAGUAACCAUGAGGAUGAGGAUUCAAUCCCUGGCCUCACUUGGUGGGUUGGGGAUCCAGCAUUGCCAUGAGCUGUGGUGUAGGUCAGAGACGUGGCUCUGAUUCAGUCCCUAGCCUGGGAACCUCCAUGUGCCAAGGGUGCAGCCCUAAAAAGACUGGGGAAAAAAAAAAAAAAAA